GGUCCUAAGGUAGCGAAAUUCCUUGUCGGGUAAGUUCCGACCUGCACGAAUGGCGCAACGAUCUGGGCGCUGUCUCAACGGGGGACACUGUGAAAUUGUAAUGCCGGUGAAGAUGCCGGCUACCCGCGACAAGACGGAAAGACCCCGUGAACCUUUACUAUAACCUGGCAGUGAAUUCUGGUGCGUUGUGCGCAGAAUAGGUGGGAGGCUUUGAACUCAGAGCUCCGGCUCUGGGGGAGCCAUUCGUGAGAUACCACUCUCAUCGUUCUGGAGUUCUAACCUGGGCCCGUGAAUCCGGGUCAGGGACACUGUCAGGCGGGUAGUUUGACUGGGGCGGUCGCCUCCCAAAAUGUAACGGAGGCUCCCUAAGGUGCGCUCAGGCUGAUUGGAAACCAGCCGCAGAGUGUAAAGGCACAAGCGCGCUUGACUGCGAGACCUACAAGUCGAGCAGAUGGGAAACCAGGGCUUAGUGAUCCGGCGGUUCCGAAUGGAAGGGCCGUCGCUCAAAGGAUAAAAGGUACUCCGGGGAUAACAGGCUUAUCUAGCCCAAGAGUUCAUAUCGACGGCUAGGUUUGGCACCUCGAUGUCGGCUCAUCGCAUCCUGGAGCUGAAACAGGUUCCAAGGGUUGGGCUGUUCGCCCAUUAAAGCGGUACGCGAGCUGGGUUCAGAACGUCGUGAGACAGUUCGGUCCUCAUCUGUCGUGGGCGCAGGAGAUUUGAGGGGAGCUGGCCCUAGUACGAGAGGACCGGGCUGGACGAACCUCUGAUGUACGAGUUGUUCCGCCUCGGGGCAUUGCUCGGUAGUCACGUUCGGACGGGAUAAGCGCUGAAAGCAUCUAAGCGCGAAGCCCCACCCAAGAUGAGAUCUCCCGGAUCAUCAGAUCCCUGAAGGCCCCUGGAAGACCACCAGGUUGAUAGGCCCGGAGUGUAAGGCGAGUAAUCGUCUCAGCUGACGGGUACUAAUCGGCCGUGAGGCUUGACCACAU
rnacentral:rRNA from 1 species